rnacentral:lncRNA from 1 species
CAAAGCAUCACAAAGAUUACUGCUUUAUUCACUUCCUAAAUUGCACGUUAGCCGCGGUUCACUUUUCUAUCGACCUCAUCUUAGCAUGUUCUUUAUUAAAAGAAAAAUUAGCCAUGACUCACUGACAACACAAUCCACAAUCCUGUCCCAAAUCCAGGAUAGAUUACAUCGAACAUCUGUCCCAGAGAUAUCACAGAUCAUAUCGCCUUAUGCCCUUAUAAGGCCUUGUUUAGUUCACCCUGAAAUUCAAAAAGUUUUCAAGAUUUCCUGUCACAUCGAAUCUUGUGGCACAUGCAUGAAGCAUUAAAUAUAGACGAAAAUAAAAACUAAUCACACAGUUUGACUGUAAAUCACGAGACGAAUUUUUUGACCUUAGUUAGUCUAUAAAUGGACAAUAUUUACCACAAACAAACGAAAGUGCUACAGUUCCGAAAACUUUCAGUUUUCGGAACUAAACAAGGCCUAAGCCGAAAUGAAGCAUCACAACACCUAUCCUAGAUAAGACACCCAGGUUUUCAAAAUAGAUAAGACACCCUGGUUGCAUUGCAUCUAUACAGCACUCGACGGUGCAGUGCAGUUCAGCUAUGCGAGUCACUCGACGCCCUCGGCGGAUUUCUGCGCCAGCAGGACGCCCAGGGUGAUGGCGGAGGCGUAGAGCGCGUUGGGCAUCUUGCGCACCACCUUGCCCACGCCGGGGACGCCCUCCGUCGCCCGCUUGGUCGCCAUCGCCAGCGCCGGCGCCGCCACCAGCGUGAUCAGCAGCUUCACGCUGAUCGUGCACAGCGAGUCCGCGGUCAGCUUCCGGAUGAACUCCGCGAACUCCUCGCGGUCCAGGAGCCCGUCCAGGUUCA